GUAAUUGAACUUGGUUAUCUGGUCUUCCUGAUGUUAGAACAUUUAGCCUAUUUAAAAAAAAAAUAUUUGAAAAUAUAUUUCUGUAACGUUUAAUUUUAUUUUUUGGUGAAAGUGUUCAUCAAGACAUGAAGAUUCUGGAGUGGGACAAAAGGAUGAUGGGGUGUGUAUUCCAAUAGACACAUUAAUGUAAAUUAAAUAUUGAGGCUCAUGCUUGCAUCUUUGUGUUUAUAUAUCAAAAGAUUGCUCUAUAUGGCUAAAUAGUCACAUUGUGAUUUCAGUGAAAGCUGAUAAAUACAGAGAGCUGGACAGUGGUUUCAUUCAUUAGGCGAGUAAGAACUGACCAUAUAACAUUAAUGGUAAAUGAACUGCAUUUAUAUAGCACUUUCAUAUACCAAUGGCCAUCCAAAGCACUUUACAAUUCGCCUCACAUUCACCCAUUCACUCACCGACGGCGGUGUCAGCCAUGCAAGGCGCCAUCCAGCUCAUCGGACACCUCGACACUUGGUCAGAUGGAGCCUGGGAUUAAACCACCAACCUUCCGAUUUGUAGACAACCUACAUGAACCACUGAGCCACUGGCGCUCCUUUACCAUUACUUUAGUUAUCUGAAUUGCAUUGUUGAAUCCAAAGGAAAAUGGUAAAAAUCCAAAUAUUUUGAAUAUAUGGAAUACUGUGAAAUAAUUUUCUGUUAAUCAUCUGCUGUGUUUGCUUCAGGUAAAGAGGUGGGACAAUGAUGCUGACAGGACAGGAGGAGGUGACAUUCAGACAUUCAGCGCAGACACUUUCAUUCAAAGCAACUUGAGGAAGAAAACAAGAAGCAGUUCACCCUAAAAGUGGGCUGCUGUAAUGUUUACAUCUAUGGAAAGAGGAGCUGAGAAGAAAAGAGAUCCAGGAAAGCAGUACUUCUUGUUGAGGACAAUCCUGAAUAGGAACACUUUCUCAUACACAUAGAUUAUUAUUAGUGUUGGAUUGUUUGUUUCAUUUUUAUGAAUUGUAUUGUUUUAAUUUUUCGUUUGAUUUGAAAUUACCUAAGUUAGAUUCAUGCUAAUACUUUAAUUGGACCUUGUAUCUUUGCGUGAAGCUGGCUGUAGAGUUGGUUUCACAUACAAAUUACUUAACUAACUUUUAAGUUCAGUUUGGUUUAAACUUGUAUGUACAUGGUAAUUCAUUUAAAUUUCGAUUCAUGCUAAUAUGUGAAUUUCAAUGAAAACUUCUGUAUUUGUGUAUAGUUGGUAAUUUGGGCAAACUACGUUUCACAUACCAAUGUAACUGUCACAAAGUUUUUUUUAUUACCAGUUUCUUCUAAACUUUUGUUGGUUUACUAAGGAUGAAAUUGCUUUGUAAUUUAAGUUGUUGGUGUUAGAUUCAUGCCAAUAAUGUAUUUGAACAAACUAGUUUUUGUUUAAUUGCUGGCAGUUUAUAGUAGAAUAGUUUAACACAUACAAUGUCAUAGUGUUAUUGAUAAAUAAAAAGGCAAAGUAAUUUUUCAUGUGAUUUAUUUAUUAAUAUAACUUGGGCAAGAUUAGGCUGAGUUAUGGCUCAGUUUUGGAAGUUCUGGGUAAAUGCUGGUUUUAAUAUGGUUGACCUAUGGCUGAGAACUGGUACCGAUGUUAGAACCUUUUCUGGCCCAGGUUUGGGCCGAAUAUGGGCUAUUAUCUGGCAGAGACAUGCAUGGGCCAGCAGAACUCUAGUGAUCUGCAACCAGGACAGUCUUUUGGUCUCACAUGUAAGGUGUCUGCACAUUCUGUUACUGAUGACAGUUAUGCCAGAGGCGUCAUGCACGUGCCAUAUCUAAUUUUUGAGCCAAGUGGAUUUUG